rnacentral:rRNA from 1 species
GACGAACCGUGCGAACGUUGUUCGGAAUCACUGGGCUUAAAGGGCGCGUAGGCGGGCGGGCAAGUCAGGGGUGAAAUCCCACGGCUCAACCGUGGAAGUGCCUUUGAUACUGCCGGUCUGGAGGGAGGUAGGGGCGUGCGGAACUUCCGGUGGAGCGGUGAAAUGCGUAGAUAUCAGGAGGAACACCGGUGGCGAAGGCGGAUCUCUGGGCCUUACCUGACGCUCAGGCACGAAAGCUAGGGGAGCGAACAGG